AGUGAACGCUGGCGGCAGGCCUAACACAUGCAAGUCGAACGGCAGCACAGUAAGAGCUUGCUCUUACGGGUGGCGAGUGGAGGACGGGUGAGGAAUACAUCGGAAUCUACUUUUUCGUGGGGGAUAACGUAGGGAAACUUACGCUAAUACCGCAUACGACCUACGGGUGAAAGCAGGGGAUCUUCGGACCUUGCGCGAUUGAAUGAGCCGAUGUCGGAUUAGCUAGUUGGCGGGGUAAAGGCCCACCAAGGCGACGAUCCGUAGCUGGUCUGAGAGGAUGAUCAGCCACACUGGAACUGAGACACGGUCCAGACUCCUACGGGAGGCAGCAGUGGGGAAUAUUGGACAAUGGGCGCAAGCCUGAUCCAGCCAUACCGCGUGGGUGAAGAAGGCCUUCGGGUUGUAAAGCCCUUUUGUUGGGAAAGAAAAGCAGCAGGUUAAUACCCCGCUGUUCUGACGGUACCCAAAGAAUAAGCACCGGCUAACUUCGUG
rnacentral:rRNA from 1 species